rnacentral:tRNA from 1 species
GGGCGGAUGGCGGAAUUGGCAUACGCGGCAGCCUUAGGAGCUGUUGGGGAAACCCAUGGAGGUUCAAGUCCUCUUCCGCCCA